AAACAUGUCUCCCUCUAUUUUACAUAAAAUAUGUUAUUAAAAAAAACAUGUCUGAUUUUUCUAUUUUGGAAAUAUUCACAAAUAGAUGGUCAUGCUCUAUGAUUUUUUUUUUAUGAGUCAAUGGUCAUGUGCAAUAGAACCUCUAGCCAAAAUAGAUGCAAUGGACAAUGUCUGCAAAUGGUUAAAUAAGUUGGCAACUCUGAGCAACUGAAUGAUAGGGGCCUCACGAGUUCAGAUCCUUUGCAAUGCGUGAUGUACAACAUUGAGUGGUACAAUCUUGGAUGGCUGCCAUGCCAUCCAAUCACAAAGAUGGAUGACUAUCAAAUAGAACAGGCAUUGUGUGGCAUAUACGACGCAUUGGGUAUGCCAUACCCUAAUAUUUUUUUUGAUAGCCUUCCGUCUCUGUGAUUGGAUGAUGUGACAGCCAUCCAGAGCUGUACAACUUUGUAUAGUGCAAAACACACACUGCAGAGGAUCUUAGGUUAGGGCCUCAGAUAUCUCAUUCACAAUGUUUUAGUGAAGCCUACAUGUUCAACCAAGAGAUUAUUUGUCUCUUUUGCAUCUAAUAGCAAGACUUGAAAUAGGCAACAAGAAUGGAGACAACCACUAGCUCCUACAAUGCCAUUCAUGUCAUGAUGCUUGCCUCCCU
rnacentral:lncRNA from 1 species